CGGUUGGACCUGCGGCAGGUUAGAGGAGUAGGAGUACGUCACUGGGCGUGUGGAAGGGGUCUGGGACAAAAACGAGGGAAGACCCGAGAAAUCGGCCCCCGCCGACACGUAAGCCAGACAGACACCACAAAACUGGCCAGGCGUGAUGGGAAGUCGCCACCUACGUGGACUCAAAGUCAGUAGCUGGGGAACUUGAAGAAUUAUAGAAACAUUUUCUCUACACGCAACUAUGGUGACAGCAAUGUGAGCUGACGGGAGAUUGCGACGACGGCGGAAGAAAGCGCGGGGCGAAGGCGGACCACACAGUGGGGGGAAGAACGGAUCAACUCCACGGUCAACGGGAACAGCGCACUGCUGCUGGGGACGAGCGAAGUGGCACCGGGACAAAAAGGGGACUUGAACUGGGAUUUACAUGAGGAAAUCUAAAAAAAAAAAAUUGAAUAAAUAAAAAAAGGAGUGUUAACUGAGCCGCUA